GUAGUCAUAUGCUUGUCUCAAAGAUUAAGCCAUGCAUGUCUAAGUAUAAGCAAUUAUACCGCGAAACUGCGAAUGGCUCAUUAUAUAAGUUAUCGUUUAUUUGAUAAUACUUUACUACUUGGAUAACCGUGGUAAUUCUAGAGCUAAUACAUGCUAAAAAUCCCGACUUCGGAAGGGUUGUAUUUAUUAGAUUAAAAACCAAUGCCCCUCGGGGCUCUCUGGUGAAUCAUGAUAACUAGUCGAAUCGACAGGCCUUGUGCCGGCGAUGGCUCAUUCAAAUUUCUUCCCUAUCAACUUUCGAUGUUUGGGUAUUGUCCAAACAUGGUGGCAACGGGUAACGGAGGGUUAGGGCUCGACCCCGGAGAAGGAGCCUGAGAAACGGCUACUACAUCCAAGGAAGGCAGCAGGCGCGCAAAUUACCCAAUCCCGACACGGGGAGGUAGUGACAAUAAAUACUGAUACAGGGCUCUUUUGGGUCUUGUAAUCGGAAUGAGUACAAUUUAAAUCCCUUAAUGAGGAA
rnacentral:rRNA from 1 species